CCAUGCCCAGAAGGAAAUAAAUGAUGCACCAGCUGCCCGCUGAGAGCAAGUGCCUUGGCAUAGCUCAUGGAAAGGAAAGCAGCUGACUCUCCUGCUUCCUAGAGAGACUCCUGUUCAUAGUCAUGCCUUGCAGGCACAGCCAUCUCCACACUGUAAUUUGAAGAGCAUUUAUUAGACUUACAUAACCCGGCGGAUUGUGGCACUCUCUGCCAGCUGCCUUCUUGAACAGCAGAGUCAGAGCAAGGGCAUGGAUGGCAAGUGAAAUCCUCUACUGUUGAAAGUCAAUCUGGAAAUGGCUGGGAGGGAAGCAGAGGUGUUUCUCUGGCCCUCUCGGAUACUGUACAAGCAGUGAAAGAGGCGGGCGGCAACGGAGCAAAAUGUACCAGUUGUAAGAGCCAAUGCCAGGCUGUUGAUGCUGUUCCCAUGGUGACAGCAUCCCCAGGGAUGCCUGAACACAGCUCUUCCACUUCUUUACCCAAUGUUUCAGGCUGACUGUUUUCAAGAGAAAUGCAAAGCCGACCACCAUCAACUUCCUCUCUAUUAAACGUCAGCAGCAUCAAAGGACGAUUUCCUCUGUUUAUUAUCUUCAGCUCCUUUCAAGUUGCUGCACUUUGGUUUUAAGCAAUCUGUGUUAGAUGAAACCACAGAGCAGUUCAGCUAGAGUACAUUGACUCUGAUAGGACAAAACCUUCACCAGUCUGCGUACUCUGGUUUGGGGCAGGACUUGCAGUUUGAGAUAAACACGGACUUCCCCAAUAUCUUAACCCUUCUCCUGCCUUCAGCGGUUAGGUAAUUUUAGAUUCUGGAGUUAUUGGGGUAUGGGCGUUUGGAGUGAGAGUGAAUUAACUCCACGUACUUCAGAAUAAACAGCUGAGCUGCAACGUGGGGGGGGGGGCGGCUUUUGUUCAUUCUGCUAAGUGGGACCCUGGACUUUUGCCCCAAAGCCCCACCCAGACGGUGCCGCUUCUUGCCUGCAAAGUUCAGUUCUCUCUUCCGAUGCUCCUAAGCUCAUACUGUAAAUAAAAAUUCCGUUGAGGGGAAAAGAACUGCCUUGAGGGAGGGGGUGUUUUUUCUUUCUUUUGCUUUCGCAAUAAUUUGUUUUCCAAAAAAUAACUGGGUACAAGUCUAGUAAUAUAAUACAAUCUCCACCAAAAUCAAAAUAAAAAAAAUCAUUGCGUUUGUAGUGUCAUUUCAAGCAUAUUCUUAAGACGUUAAUGGUUAAUAUAGCCUCUCCACAGCCAAAUUUGAGUAGUUGGUGGGAGUGAAUUGUUAUCUUCUUCCCUUACAUAUGAAAAGAAAGAAGAUCAGGUUUCAACAAAGGUAUCUCUCUUUGUAACAACUUUUGCUACGCUCUUAAGUGACAGCCAGAUCCCAAAUGUUGUUGAACCAUAUCUGGAGGCGUAGCUCAGGCUGAAAUUUUCCA
rnacentral:lncRNA from 1 species